rnacentral:rRNA from 1 species
GAAGAAAGCUGGCGGCGUGCUUAACACAUGCAAGUCGAACGGUGAAGCGCCUUCCUUUUUGGUGGGUGUGGAUGAGUGGCGAACGGGUGAGUAACACGUGAGUAACCUGCCCCCUUCUUCUGGAUAACCGCAUGAAAGUGUGGCUAAUACGGGAUAUUCUGGGUCUGUCGCAUGAUGGGUCUGGGAAAGAUAUUGUUUCGGUGGGGGAUGGGCUCGCGGCCUAUCAGCUUGUUGGUGGGGUGAUGGCCUACCAAGGCGGUGACGGGUAGCCGGCCUGAGAGGGUGGGCGACCCCAGAGCUGAGGCGCCGCGCAGACGCCUACGAGGGGCAGCAGUAGUGGAGAAUACUGAACAGGGGGAGGCAGGCUGAUGCAGCGCCGCGGGGUGGGAGAUGGCCGUCGUCGGGUAGAGUACUUCCUUCGCGAGUGAAGGAGGCAAGCUUAGUUUCUGGGCGGGUUGACGGUAGCCGCAGAAGAAGCGCCGGCUAACUCCGUG